rnacentral:rRNA from 1 species
UGAGGAAUAUUGGUCAAUGGGCGGAAGCCUGAACCAGCCAUGCCGCGUGAAGGAAUAAGGCCCUAUGGGUCGUAAACUUCUUUUGUGGUGGAGCAAUAAGACGUACGUGUACGUCGAUGAGAUUACAUCAUGAAUAAGCAUCGGCUAACUCCGUGCCAGCAGCCGCGGUAAUACGGAGGAUGCGAGCGUUAUCCGGAUUUAUUGGGUUUAAAGGGUGCGCAGGCGGCGCGCCAAGUCAGCGGUCAAAGUUCCGGGCUCAACCCGGUGUCGCCGUUGAAACUGGCGUGCUCGAGUGCGUGCGAGGAAGGCGGAAUGCGUUGUGUAGCGGUGAAAUGCAUAGAUAUGACGCAGAACUCCGAUUGCGAAGGCAGCUUUCCAGCGCGCUACUGACGCUGAGGCACGAAAGCGUGGGGAU